UACGGAGGGUGCAAGCGUUAUCCGGAUUCACUGGGUUUAAAGCGUGCGCAGGCGGUUCUAUAAGACAGAUGUGAAAUCCCCGGGCUCAACCUGGGAACUGCAUUUGUGACUGUAGAGCUGGAGUGCGGCAGAGGGGGAUGGAAUUCCGCGUGUAGCAGUGAAAUGCGUAGAUAUGCGGAGGAACACCGAUGGCGAAGGCAAUCCCCUGGGCCUGCACUGACGCUCAUGCACGAAAGCGUGGGGAGCAAACAGG
rnacentral:rRNA from 1 species